rnacentral:rRNA from 1 species
GAAACGGGUGGGCCCUCGAAUUCCUGUGUGGCGGGAGGAUUCAGUCGGGACCGCGCGCGGCGGGCGUGUGAUGCGGCACCGCGUCGGGAACUCCGUUUCCGUCUCGCGCUUCCGCGGUUCGCCCGCGGCGUCGCCACCGACGCAUUUCUUCCCGCACCGAGGACGCCGCGGCCGGUCGGGCACGAACAAAAGUCUUCCGAGAGGGCGGAGAUCGGCACGGGCGGGCCUUAGGGGGAGACCCCGACGGGCCUCGCCUCCUCCGUCCGGGCGGACGCCCGACCGAGGCAGAGAAGGGGGCCCGUUCCCACGGGCCCCGCCGUCCCCUUCGAAUUUCCGAUUCGAGAAGCAGGUGCCUUGAGCAAGCACGCGCCGGCGAGGGCGUCCCACCGCCUCGCGCGGUGCUCGCCCCGUCCGGCGCUGCGGACGUUCGAACGAAACGCCCGCGGGGGAUCGAAGGACGGCUCGCGGCGAGUAGGUCGGUCACCCACCCGACCCGUCUUGAAACACGGACCAAGGAGUCUGACAUGUGCGCGAGUCAAUGGGACUUGAACAGGCCCAGAGGCGGAAUGAAAGUGAACGCCGGUCUCCCGCCGCGGAGGUCCGAGCGAGGUCGAGAUUCCGCGCCCGGAGAGGCGCGGACGCAUCGACGGCCCGUCUCUCUCCGACUCGUCGGAGGGGCGGAGUCCGAGCGCACACGUCGGUACCCGAAAGACGGCGAACUAUGCUUGGCCAGGACGAAUGCAGUGGAAACUCUGCUGGAAGUCCGAAGCGGUUCUGACGUGCAAAUCGAUUGUCGGAGCUGCGUAUAGG